GAUUAUUAUAAAAUAUUGAGUGUAUUCUCUGUGCUUAUAGUAGGUGUAAGGUUGUAUAUUUAAAUCAGUAAAAAAGUAUUGUCUAUUAUCUUUUAGCCAUAGCUGGGAAAUCAAAUCCUCUCUUGGCUUACUGAAGUCUGAGUACUGCAUGGCAAUAUUUCCAGAGUUUAUUAGGCAAAACAAAUGAGACCCAAGUGCUCAUAGAACGUUAUGAAAAGUCAACACAAAGAAAUGGAAAAUAUUAGAAACACGAUUGUCUUUGGAAAAGGAGACACAAAUAUAAACUCAAUGAAUAUGCAGAAGCAAAAUGUGGUCUUCAGAACUCUCAUGAUCAGCAUUUACUGAUGUUUCAUCAUCCUUCUUUAUCCAUUUUAUAAUGUACCGUCAAGUUAUUUGCAGGGCAUAAAGACCUCUUUGGAAUGUAAUAGGAAACAAAAGAUUGGUUCAAGAUCUGAUCGCAUACUUCAGGACAAUCUUCCUACAGUUUUCAGUCCACCAGAUAAAGAGUUGGCAGAGUGGAGAGGGCUGGAAGAGCAGUUUCCUAAUUUUGAGUGUUUGGCAAGCUGGAAUUCCACCUGCUAAAACUUAACAGUGUAGAGAUUGUUAUCCAGUGGGUACAUUUGCAACUUUCUGUUUGGUGCUCAAUAAAGCAGACUGUAUUACUGUGCUGGAAAACUUUAA